CCCUCAUCACCACCCUCACUUCACCACCAUCAUCACCAUCAACACCACCAGAAGAGGAGAUGAAAAAGGAGACUAGUUCAAGGAGGGGAGAGUGGAGGAAGUGGAGGAGGAUGGAGGGAGGAUACAAGGGAUUGGUUAGUCUCCUUAUCCUCACCUUCCUCCUCCCUCCUCCACUUGUCUCCUCUUCUUCCUCCCCCUCCCCCUCCUCCUCCACCUCCUUGGAUUGGGAAGUGUUGGUCCCCGCCGUGGCAAAGGUAGUUAACAGGAUGUGGCAUCAGCAGGGAGAUGAGGUCAACUUAUUGGGUCACGUGUGUCUGGUGAACAUGACCUUUGACCCCGCCUCCCCCCGCGCCGCCGCCACGCUCACCUGCCCCACCUGGACGGAGUUGGAAGGACGAGCCACUCCUCUGAACCAGCACGGGGUAGCGAGAGGCGUAGUGACCAACCUAUUCCGUCAGCUGAUUGCCAAUGACCUCGUGACAGCCCAGCAGACCGCGGAUUGGCUGAGAGAGGUCAACAGGGGGAGGGAGAACACGCAACGGAGACU